rnacentral:rRNA from 1 species
GACGAACGCUGGCGGCGUGCUUUACACAUGCAAGUCGAACGAACCAAUAGGAGCUUGCUCCUUGAGGUUAGUGGCGAACGGGUGCGUAACACGUGAGGAAUCUGUCCUUCGGCGGGGGAUAGCCGGCCCAACGGCCGGGUAAUACCGCGUACGUCGGUUCUGUCGCAUGGCGGAACCGGGAAAGCAGCAAUGCACCGAAGGAGGACCUCGCGGCCUAUCAGCUUGUUGGCGGGGUAAUGGCCCACCAAGGCGACGACGGGUAGCUGGUCUGAGAGGAUGAUCAGCCACAUUGGGACUGAGACACGGCCCAG